rnacentral:rRNA from 1 species
GACGAACGCUGGCGGCGUGCCUAAUACAUGCAAGUCGAACGAACCGCGACUAAGUGCUUGCACUAAGUCAAGGUGAGCGGCGAACGGGUGAGUAACACGUGGGUAACCUACCUCAUAGUGGGGGAUAACAGUCGGAAACGACUGCUAAUACCGCAUAGGACAUAGGAUCACAUGAUCCAGUGAGGAAAGGUGGCGCAAGCUAUCGCUAAGAGAUGGACCCGCGGUGCAUUAGCUAGUUGGUAGGGUGAAGGCCUACCAAGGCGAUGAUGCAUAGCCGACCUGAGAGGGUGAUCGGCCACAUUGGGACUGAGACACGGCCCAAACUCCUACGGGAGGCAGCAGUAGGGAAUCUUCCGCAAUGGACGCAAGUCUGACGGAGCAACGCCGCGUGAGUGAAGAAGGUCUUCGGAUCGUAAAGCUCUGUUGUUAGAGAAGAACAGCGCAUAGAGUAACUGCUAUGCGUGUGACGGUAUCUAACCAGAAAGCCACGGCUAACUACGUG